rnacentral:rRNA from 1 species
AUUGAACGCUGGCGGCAUGCUUUACACAUGCAAGUCGAACGGUAUCAUCCUUUCGGGGGUGAGAGAGUGGCGAACUGGUGAGUAACACGUAGGUUAUCUACCCUCAAGACGGGGACAACCCAGGGAAACUUGGGCUAAUACCGGAUGUGAGCAACUUUUAGUUGUUUGAAAGGUGGCGUAAGCUGUCGCUUGGGGAUGAGCCUGCGUCCUAUUAGUUAGUUGGUGAGGUAACGGCUCACCUAGGCAAUGAUAGGUAGGCGGCCUUAACGGGUGGUCGCCCACACUGGGAUUGAGAUACGGCCCAGACUCCUACGGGAGGCAGCAGUCGAGAAUAGUCUACAAUGGUCGGAAGACUGAUAGUGCGACGCCGCGUGAACGAUGAAUCCCUUCGGGGUGUAAAGUUCUUUUAUAUGUGAGCAGUGCUUCUUAUAUUAACAGUAUGGGGAGAGAGAUAUUAGCAUAUGAAUAAGCAACGGCUAACUCCGUG